rnacentral:rRNA from 1 species
GACGAACGCUGGUGGCGUGCCUAAUACAUGCAAGUAGAACGCAGUUGCGAACGGGUGAGUAACGCGUAGGUAACUGCCUCAUAGCGGGGGAUAACUAUUGGAAACGAUAGCUAAUACCGCAUACUGUGCGAUGGACCUGCGUUGUAUUAGGUAGUUGGUGAGGUAAAGGCUCACCAAGGCGACGAUACAUAGCCGGCCUGAGAGGGUGGUCGGCCAAACUGGGACUGAGACACGGGCCAGACUCCUACGGGAGGCAGCAGUAGGGAAUCUUCGUCAAUGGGCGGAAGUCUGGACGAGCAACUCCGGGGGAGAGAAGAAGGUUUUCGGAUCGUAAAGGUCUGUUGUUAGAGAAGCGGUAACUAAACAGAAAGGGACGGCUAACUACGUGCCAGCCGCCGCGGUAAUAC